AGGUUUUGGAUUAGUAAGUCUGCUGCAAGGCGGUGGUGGCACUCUACUCUUGCAGCAUUUCUUGCACGUCGUUGAGUUCUUUGAGCUUUAGUCUCUUCUCUGACAACAUUGGCAGUGAGCUCAUCUUGCGAGACAUCAUCAGGAUGAUGCUUAUAUCAUGGGUUUCUGUCCCAUUGCUCUUCUUCUUCGCCCUCUUGUCCAGUAAUGAGAGCAAAG
rnacentral:lncRNA from 1 species